UUAAAACACAAAAAAGCGCUUGACAGUUGCGGAUUAUAACAAUGAAUUCGGAAAGGUCAGCACAAUGCUCUAUAUUUCCAUAUUUCUGCUCCUCAAUAUUGGCUGCAUAUCCCAGAGCUAUAUCAUCCGGCCACGCGAGAAGCAAACGCAACCUCGAUAUCUAUCCAGAUCUGGCGCGGAUGGAUGAGGAAGGUGGCAAAAAAGAAGGCGGCGGCGAGGGACAAGGCUGCGAGGAAAGCAGAAGCCACACUUGCAACAAUCCGUUAAGCAAGACCGAUCCCAAAGCUAAAGCCUCAAACAUUGCACAGAAAGCAGCGCAGGAGGCGAAGGCGGCGAAUGACGCACAAAUGGCAGCCGCGGACGCUGCUGCCUCGCAGGUGAAAGUGGAGCUCGCCGAGAAGGCGCUUCAGUCGGCACGUGCGGCCGAGGCAGCUCUGGCUGGCAAGCAGCAGAUCGUUGAGCAACUGGAGAUGGAGCACCACGAGGCGGAGGCUGUUGUCCAGGAGGUGAACAACUCGCUGCACAAUACGCAGACGAAUGCGGCUGCCGCCAACGAUGCCGCCGCCGAGGCACGCAACCAACUGGCCGCCCUCAUGCGACUGGUGCAGGCGGCCACCACGAAUCUGGCCAACAUUGAGAACGUCUCGAUGGGUGCGCAACAGGAGCUGGCCGAAAAGACGCAACUGCUGGAAGCGGCCAGGAAUCGCGUCGGAAAUCUGGCCAACCAGCUGCAGGUGGCCAGACAGGACUUCGAAAAGACCAAGAAGGCUGCCUACAAAGCAGCCUGUGCCGCCGUCGAAGCCAAGCAGAAGGCGCAAAGGAGUCGACGCCUGAGUCCCUACUGAACGGCCGACAGGCCAAGUCUGUGGCAACAACUUUAUUGGAUUGUUUUGUUUAUACUGAUAUUAUGACAGUCAGAGUAUUUCCUACGAACUAGUCUAGAUGGGCUACCGAAUCGAGAGCU